GAUGAACGCUGGCGGCGUGCUUAACACAUGCAAGUCGAACGAAGCACUUUAUUUGAUUUCCUUCGGGACUGAUUAUUUUGUGACUGAGUGGCGGACGGGUGAGUAACGCGUGGGUAACCUGCCUUGUACAGGGGGAUAACAGUUGGAAACGGCUGCUAAUACCGCAUAAGCGCGCAGCAUCGCAUGAUGCAGUGUGAAAAACUCUGGUGGUAUAAGAUGGACCCGCGUUGGAUUAGCUAGUUGGUGAGGUAACGGCCCACCAAGGCGACGAUCCAUAGCCGACCUGAGAGGGUGACCGGCCACAUUGGGACUGAGACACGGCCCAAACUCCUACGGGAGGCAGCAGUGGGGAAUAUUGCACAAUGGGCGAAAGCCUGAUGCAGCGACGCCGCGUGAGCGAAGAAGUAUUUCGGUAUGUAAAGCUCUAUCAGCAGGGAAGAUAAUGACGGUGCCUGACUAAGGAGCACCGGCUAAAUACGUGCCAGCAGCCGCGGUAAUACGUAUGGUGCAAGCGUUAUCCGGAUUUACUGGGUGUAAAGGGAGCGCAGGCGGUGCGGCAAGUCUGAUGUGAAAGCCCGGGGCUCAACCCCGGUACUGCAUUGGAAACUGUCGUACUAGAGUGUCGGAGGGGUAAGCGGAAUUCCUAGUGUAGCGGUGAAAUGCGUAGAUAUUAGGAGGAACACCAGUGGCGAAGGCGGCUUACUGGACGAUAACUGACGCUGAGGCUCGAAAGCGUGGGGAGCAAACAAGAUUAGAUACCCUGGUAGUCCACGCCGUAAACGAUGAAUAAUAGGUGUUGGGAAGCAUUGCUUCUCGGUGCCGUCGCAAACGCAGUAAGUAUUCCACCUGGGGAGUACGUUCGCAAGAAUGAAACUCAAAGGAAUUGACGGGGACCCGCACAAGCGGUGGAGCAUGUGGUUUAAUUUGAAGCAACGCGAAGAACCUUACCAAGUCUUGACAUCCUUCUGACCGGUACAUAACCGUACCUUCUCUUCGGAGCAGGAGUGACAGGUGGUGCAUGGUUGUCGUCAGCUCGUGUCGUGAGAUGUUGGGUUAAGUCCCGCAACGAGCGCAACCCUUAUCUUUAGUAGCCAGCGGUCAGGCCGGGCACUCUAGAGAGACUGCCAGGGAUAACCUGGAGGAAGGCGGGGAGGACGUCAAAUCAUCAUGCCCCCUACGACUUGGGCUACACACGUGCUACAAUGGCGUAAACAAAGGGAAGCAAAGCUGUGAAGCCGAGCAAAUCUCAAAAAUAACGUCUCAGUUCGGACUGUAGUCUGCAACCCGACUACACGAAGCUGGAAUCGCUAGUAAUCGCAGAUCAGAAUGCUGCGGUGAAUACGUUCCCGGGUCUUGCACA
rnacentral:rRNA from 1 species